CAAAUCACACAGAACAAUUCCAUUGUGAAUGGGUCUGGUUUGAUCACAUCUGUUAUCUAGGUAUAGUGUCUUUUCAUAAUACUGUAUCUUUACAUUGCAGGGUCAUCGCAACAAAUUAGUAAAGAAACAAAUGAAGAACCAGACACAAUAAAGAAGAAAACGGUGUGUGUAUGGAGGAGAUUUGGGAGGUAUUUGCCUCCAGGAAAAAGCAACACCUCAUGUUUCCCACUGAGUUAACAGUGUCUCCACAAUAAAGGUGAUUUAACCAACCAAAAAAACAUCUUUGUUCAUUCAGUAUGAAAGCAAAAUGAAAGAUGAAGAUGCUGUCAGACACCGACACAAAGAGAGCAAAUGUUCAGAGAAACAAAGAAAGACAAACACACACAGCUCUGUUCAGAUGAUUUGUCGUCAAAUUUCUUUUCAUGAGUUGUGCUUUGCUUAUGACGACAGCAACCAAACACAAAAUAAAUAAUUUGUAUAACAACAAUAAAAUAAGAAGUCAAAAAA